rnacentral:lncRNA from 1 species
GUCUUCCUGGGGUAAGACUGGAUUAGGGGACCCUGCUCGGUCAGUGGUCCUGGUGAUCGCCUAGAGAAAUAGAUCUAUUCUGCUGGGAUCUGGGAUUGAAUCCUAGGCAGAUUUGUGGGGAGUAGGAUGGUGAGAGGUGCUGGAAGGCACGGGUCCACUUCUUAACCUUCCUUUUAACUCUGUGCUGCAGGGUGGAAGCUUUAUAGUCAAUGUCCUCUCCAUCUCUGGCCACAUUCCCAGGACUCCUGAUCAUUAGAGUGACUGUUGUCCCAAGUGGACAUAAUUAUAAAUAGCUCCCUUCUUUUACUGAAAGUGUCCUACAGUGGACAAUAAUUUAGUCCCCUCCUCCAGUGGAAAAUAUACUACGCGCAUGCAAAAGCUCAGAGGGCUCCAGGAGUCGUCCCAACUCCCCUUUCUCAGUUCCUUGGGAUUUUUUUUUUUUUAAGUUUGUCCUCUACUAGAUCGCUUCUCAUUCACCAGGAUAUCUUAGAUCAAGGCUGGCGUUUGAAGCCUCUGCCUGAGUUCAAGCCCCUUUCUUCCUGUGUUCCUGUCCAAGCCCGCGGACUGGAAUCUCCCAAGGAAGUUAGGAAUAAUUCGGGGGGGUGGCGAAAUGGGGGGUGGAGUGGGGCGUGAAACUGCAGCCUUCACCUGGCUAACAGAAGAGGACUCAGGACGCCCAGCACCCUGGAUAGGACCCAACAGCGCUCCCUGGAGGUGUGGGUGCAAAGUUUUGUCUAGCUUGGCCUCCAAGGCCCUCCAGGCAAUGCACUGGGAAGGGAAGAAUUAGUGAUUAAAUUUGACCUGAGUCAAAAGA